rnacentral:rRNA from 1 species
UACAGAGGUCCCAAGCGUUGUUCGGAUUCAUUGGGCGUAAAGGGUGCGUAGGCGGCGCGGUGAGUCGGGUGUGAAAUCUCGGAGCUUAACUCCGAAACUGCAUUCGAUACUGCCGUGCUUGAGGACUGGAGAGGAGACUGGAAUUUACGGUGUAGCGGUGAAAUGCGUAGAUAUCGUAAGGAAGACCAGUGGCGAAGGCGGGUCUCUGGGCAAUAACUGACGCUGAGGAGCGAAAGCGUGGGGAGCGAACAGG